GAGGGUAUAGCUCAAGUGGUAGAGUGCAUGCUUAGCAUGCACGAGGUCCUGGGUUCAAUCCCCAGUAUCUCCU
rfam:Camelus ferus unplaced genomic scaffold scaffold884, whole genome shotgun sequence.